rnacentral:rRNA from 1 species
GUAACCUGCCUUGGAGUGGGGAAUAACACAUCGAAAGAUGUGCUAAUACCGCAUAAUGCAGUUGGGCCGCAUGGCUCUGACUGCCAAAGAUUUAUCGCUCUGAGAUGGACUCGCGUCUGAUUAGCUGGUUGGCGGGGUAACGGCCCACCAAGGCGACGAUCAGUAGCCGGACUGAGAGGUUGACCGGCCACAUUGGGACUGAGACACGGCCCAGACUCCUACGGGAGGCAGCAG